UAACAAGGAUUCCCUUAGUAACUGCGAGUGAAGUGGGAAAAGCUCACAUUUAAAAUCUGGCAGCCUUGGUUGUCCGAGUUGUAAUCUGGAGAAGCGUUUUCUGUGCAGGACCGUGUACAAGUCUCUUGGAAUGGAGCAUCGUAGAGGGUGAGAAUCCCGUCUUUGACAUGGAUUACCUGUGCUUUGUGAUACGCUCUCAAAGAGUCGAGUUGUUUGGGAUUGCAGCUCAAAAUGGGUGGUAAAUUCCAUCUAAAGCUAAAUAUUGGCGAGAGACCGAUAGCGAACAAGUACCGUGAGGGAAAGAUGAAAAGCACUUUGGAAAGAGAGUUAAACAGUACGUGAAAUUGUUGAAAGGGAAACGCUUGAAGUCAGCCGCGUUGCCUAGAACUCAACCUGACUUCUGUCUGGUGUACUUUCUAGUGUGACGGGUCAACAUCGAUUCUGGUCAGUGGAUAAGGGUYAAGAGGGAUGUGGCACCUAUUUAUUAGGUGUGUUAUAACCUUUUACCGUAUACACUUUGCUUAGGAUCGAGGUCUGCAGCACUUCUGUGCUUAGGAUGUUGGCAUAAUGGCUUUAAGCGACCCGUCUUGAAACACGGACCAAGGAGUCUAACAUGCCCGCGAGUGUUAGGGUGUUUAAACCCUUGCGCGUAAUGAAAGUGAAUGUUGGGACCUCUGUCAUGGGGGGCACCGACGCCCGGUCCUGAACUACUGUGACGGUACUGCGGUAGAGCGUGUAUGUUGGGACCCGAAAGAUGGUGAACUAUGCCUGAAUAGGGUGAAGCCAGAGGAAACUCUGGUGGAGGCUCGUAGCGAUUCUGACGUGCAAAUCGAUCGUCAAAUUUGGG
rnacentral:rRNA from 1 species